rnacentral:lncRNA from 1 species
CUAAGUAGUUAAAGGGUAAAAAGAAAGACCAAAAGUAAGAGGUUGGGAAAACUUGGACUUUUUACUUUUACCUCUUCUUUUCUGAUUUCCAAUGUGCACUUAGCCUUUUGUCCAACCUUUGCUUAGCUUCUCUGGCAAUUUCAACUAGUUUCUCAUCUUGAUAUCCAUUGCUUGCUGCACUUCUUUGCUGUUAAUUCAUUUUAAUGAAAACAUGCACGAAAAAGGACACAUGAAUUAACAUCAAUCAUUUUGUCCACAUAAAUCUUGAACAGUGGUGGAGCCAACCUGAUUAGUUAUCUGAUAUUCGUCGAAAAAGAGUCACCGGUGACACAUAUAUAACACAAAGUGCACAUCAAUUUCGGAAAAAAAGUAACAUUUUAGAACUCCCCACUUUUAACCGAGAGGUUGUGAGUUCGAGUCUCCCCAAGAGCAAGGUGGGAAGUUCUUGGAGGAUGCUGGGGGUCGAUUUGGAAACAGCCUCUCUACCCAAGGGUAGGGGUAAGGUCUGCGUACAUACUACCUUCCCCAGACCCAAUUAAGUGAAAUUAUACUGGGUAGUUGUUAUUGUUGUAUAGUCUAGAUCCAAGUCUAAAUACAAAUUGAGUUGCGAUAAUAAGUCGCUAAUUGUAUAAAUUCUGAGUGCGCCACUAAUCUUAAAAAUGCAAAGGCAAAACUUAGUCAUCAAACAAGGAGAAGAGUACAACAACAUAUCCAGUGUGAUUCCACAAGUAAGGUAUAGAGCUUGUAUUCGAUGACCCUCGGCUCAACAAAUAAGGAGGGGAGUGGUGUGAGGAAUUUAGUAGUACCAUGGAACAGCUUGAACUAAGAUGGUAUUGAACUAUUAAUCAUGGUUGAUUGUGUAGAUGCAAAAAGAGGACCUCCUUGUAUUUGAUGAAUCCAACCAAUUACCCCUUUGAUGAAAUCUCCUCCUUCUAUCAUGCUCAAUACCACGAAGCAUACCAGCCAUUUUUACACAAACUCAAGAACAGAAAAAAAAAACCACAAAGGAAAUCAGAAAGUCUUUGUAGCUACUGUUACAAAACAUCAGAAAGUUCUUGGCUUUUACUGAUCAGUUUCUUACUAUAGAAAUAAUAGUCAUGGAAGAAGUGAAAGAACAAUCAUUAAAGAUACACGUCAAAAUUAUUGUCAUUUUCCCUAUUAAAAAGAAAGAAUAUAGUAACCUCACCUGAAAAGCAGAAGUCUUAACUUUGCUCUGAA